rnacentral:rRNA from 1 species
AGUGAACGCUGGCGGUAGGCCUAACACAUGCAAGUCGAACGGCAGCACAGUAAGAGCUUGCUCUUACGGGUGGCGAGUGGCGGACGGGUGAGGAAUACAUCGGAAUCUACUUUUUCGUGGGGGAUAACGUAGGGAAACUUACGCUAAUACCGCAUACGACCUACGGGUGAAAGCAGGGGAUCUUCGGACCUUGCGCGAUUGAAUGAGCCGAUGUCGGAUUAGCUAGUUGGCGGGGUAAAGGCCCACCAAGGCGACGAUCCGUAGCUGGUCUGAGAGGAUGAUCAGCCACACUGGAACUGAGACACGGUCCAGACUCCUAAGGGAGGCAGCAGUGGGGAAUAUUGGACAAUGGGCGCAAGCCUGAUCCAGUCAUACCGCGUGGGUGAAGAAGGCCUUCGGGUUGUAAAGCCCUUUUGUUGGGAAAGAAAAGCAGCAGGUUAAUACCCCGCUGUUCUGACGGUACCCAAAGAAUAAGCAUCGGCUAACUUCGUG